CACAUCGCGCCCACAUGACGGAGCGGCGCUGUUUUCUCGGCCGCGCCCCGACAUCGCCGCGUCGUGCAGCGCGAGAAAAACGCGCUUCCCCGCCCCGAGCACAGCGCUCUGCCAGGACGUUCGCCCCGCGCUACCGCUGGUGCGGACGAGCCCGGCCGCGGGGCCCUACCUGGCGUGGCAGCAGCCUCCAGGCAACCCCUCACAGCAACGCCCUCCUUCGCGCCUGCCCGCAGGGUCGAGGAGCGGCGCCGGAAGCGGAAGUAGCGGUUCCGGAAGCGCUACGGCGGAAGUGCUACGGCGGCCGCGUGGGGUCAGACGGAAGCGGUGCGGAACGGAGCGGUGCUGGCAUCAUGUCGGGCCGAGAGGGCGGCAAGAAGAAGCCGCUGAAGCAGCCGAAGAAGCAGACGAAGGACCUGGAUGAGACAGAUCUGGCAUUUAAACAAAAGCAGAAGGAGGAGCAAAAGAAACUUGAGGAGAUGAAAGCAAAGGCUGCUGGAAAAGGGCCCCUCACGAGCGGUGGGAUAAAGAAGUCUGGCAAAAAGUAGUUCCGAGCUGCAGGAUAAGACGCCUCCAACUUACGCGAUGGAUCCGCAGCCUUCAGAAGACGAAGAGAACUCGCAGCUCUUGGGAAGCACUGUACAUUUUGUUUAGUCAGAAUAAAACUUUUUUGUUAAGAGGUGAUAUUGUCUCU
rnacentral:lncRNA from 1 species